rnacentral:sRNA from 1 species
UUGCGAGUCCUGGAGACUAGAGUCCUCUGACUAUCCCAUAGCUUCCUCACCUGUGUGCCUCAACCAUGCUCUGGAGGGAGCACCUCUGUGAGUGAGAGAUUUGUUCAGUCUCUGUUGUGCGUUCAUUCCGUGGCCUCC